rnacentral:rRNA from 1 species
AUACGUAGGUGGCGAGCGUUGUCCGGAAUUACUGGGCGUAAAGGGUGCGUAGGCGGAAUCUUAAGUCAGAUGUGAAAUACCCGGGCUUAACCUGGGAAUGGCAUUUGAAACUGGGGUUCUAGAGUGCAGGAGAGGGAAGCGGAAUUCCUAGUGUAGCGGUGAAAUGCGUAGAUAUUAGGAAGAACACCAGUGGCGAAGGCGGCUUUCUGGACUGUAACUGACGCUGAGGCACGAAAGCGUGGGGAGCAAACAGGAUUAGAUACCCUGGUAGUCCACGCUGUAAACGAUGAGUGCUAGGUGUGGGGGGUUUCGACACCCUCUGUGCCGCAGUAAACGCAAUAAGCACUCCGCCUGGGGAGUACGGUCGCAAGACUAAA